UGUCAUUAGUGUAGUAAUAGUCGUAGCAGGUUUCCGUAGGUGAACCUGCGGAAGGAUCAUUAUUGAAAUAAACCUGAUGGGUUGUUGCUGGCUCUCUAGGGAGCAUGUGCACGCCUUGUCAUCUUUAUAUCUCCACCUGUGCACCUUUUGUAGACCUUUCAGGUCUAUGUUGCUUCAUUUUUCCCCAAUGUAUGUUAAUAGAAUGUUGUGCCUGUAUAAUAUAUACAACUUUCAGCAACGGAUCUCUUGGCUCUCGCAUCGAUGAAGAACGCAGCGAAAUGCGAUAAGUAAUGUGAAUUGCAGAAUUCAGUGAAUCAUCGAAUCUUUGAACGCACCUUGCGCUCCUUGGUAUUCCGAGGAGCAUGCCUGUUUGAGUGUCAUUAAUAUAUAUAUCAAGCCUUCUCUUGUAGAAGGGUUUGGAUGUGGGGGUUUGCUGGCCUCUUAAAAAGGGUUCAGCUCUCCUGAAAUGCAUUAGCAGAACAACCUUGUGUUCAUUGGUGUGAUAACUAUCUACGCUAUUGAAUGUUGAGGGGGCAGUUCAGCUUUCCAACAGUCCCUUGGGACAACUCAUCAUUAAUGUGACCUCAAAUCAGGUAGGACUACCCGCUGAACUUAAGCAUAUCAAUAAGCGGAGGAAAAGAAACUAACAAGGAUUCCCCUAGUAACUGCGAGUGAAGCGGGAAAAGCUCAAAUUUAAAAUCUGGCGGUUUUUUUGGCCGUCCGAGUUGUAAUCUAGAGAAGUGUUAUCCGCGCUGGACCGUGUACAAGUCUCCUGGAAUGGAGCAUCAUAGAGGGUGAGAAUCCCGUCUUUGACAUGGACUGCCAGGGCUAGGUGAUGCGCUCUCAAAGAGUCGAGUUGUUUGGGAAUGCAGCUCAGAAUGGGUGGUAAAUCCAUCUAUAGCUAAUAUUGCGAGAGACGAUAGCGAACAGUACGUGAGGGAUAGAUGAAAGAACUU
rnacentral:rRNA from 1 species